GACGAACGCUGGCGGCGUGCCUAAUACAUGCAAGUCGAGCGGACGAAUCGAAAGCUUGCUUUUGAUUCGUUAGCGGCGGACGGGUGAGUAACACGUGGGCAACCUGCCCUGUAGACGGGGAUAACACCGAGAAAUCGGUGCUAAUACCGGAUAACACGAAAUGUCGCAUGACGUUUCGUUGAAAGACGGCGCAAGCUGUCGCUACAGGAUGGGCCCGCGGCGCAUUAGCUAGUUGGUGAGGUAACGGCUCACCAAGGCGACGAUGCGUAGCCGACCUGAGGGGGGGAGCGGCCACCCGGGGACUGGGACCCGGCCCAGACCCCUACGGGAGGCAGCAGUGGGGAAUCUUCCGCAAUGGACGAAAGUCUGACGGAGCAACGCCGGGGGGGCGAAGAAGGCCUUGGGGCCGUAAAGCCCUGUUGUUGGGGAAAAAAAAGUAACGCAGUAACGGGCGUUACCGUGACGGUACCUAACGAGAAAGCCCGGGCUAACUACGU
rnacentral:rRNA from 1 species